CGCCGGGGAUGUUUGUGUAAACAAGAUCCAGCGUGUUUUCCCCUCUCGUUGCAAAGUCCACAUACUGAUGGAAUCUAGGAAGCACUGACUUGAGAUUUGCAUGGUUGAAAUCUCCAGCAACAAUGAACAGUCCAUCCGGAUUGAAAUGAAGACAAUGAAACCACACAGCAGCUUCAGCUGAGCUGUCAAUCAGCAGCAGCAGUCUUAUCUGUGGGCCGCAGGGGCUGAUGGGAGCUUUGAGGACCUGUUAGAAACCACGUGGCCCUCGUCUGAUCUCACAGCUCGUCCUUGUUUGGCCUCAGCUGCAUCAGAGCGCCACUUCUCCCCAGGUUCACCAGAGGAAACACCACUGCACAAAAUGCUUUUCCUCCCAGCUGCUGCUCUGUGCUGUCUGUGUUCAGCACUGGUUACCAUGGCAGCAGAACAGCUGAUUCAGGAUGAUUUAACAUUGACCAGGAGAGUUGGAGAAAGUGUCUCCUUCAGCUGUGGAGGGACUGAACAGUGUAGCAGCAUCUAUCGGUACUGGUACCAAAAGAAAGAAAAUGAAACACUCAGAAUUAUUCUGCGCAUUAACAAGAAUGGUGGUGACAUUUACUCAGGUUAUGGUCAUCCCGAGAAAGAUGAUUUCUCAGCUGUGAAUAAACAGAACGGCUGUGAGUUGAAGAUCGAAAAAAUUAAACUCGAUCAUUCAGCCACCUACUACUGCAACUGUUAUAAGAGAGGUACCCACAGUGGGAAAUGAUCCCUGCAGCCUGAACAAAAACCAACAGAUGAACAGAUGUCAAACAGUGUUUGUGACAGGAAGAGAGCAGUAAACCACAGCCCAGGUUCACAGAUUUCACCUCCAUCUCAGAGUCACAAACAUACUGAGCUCAGGGAGAUUUUUAUUUACUGCUGUCAGAAAUUCAAUUCUAUUUGUUUCUGUUUCAAACAGAUUUUUCAUCAUGUUUUAAGACAGAAACAAGAGGAACAGAUGACAUCAAACUUCCAAAUGUAAACAAAUGUAUCCUCAGUCCCACAAAAACAUUUAUUCAAAGUGAAAGAAAAACAGAUUGUGUCAAACUGAAUCAAAGUCCAUCCCUCAUUCACAGUGUUAAUGUUCUCUUCAUGAAAACUCUUCCAGCAGCACUUGUUGUUUAACACCUUUCAGUACAUUUAACCAGACACUUUCACUUUAGGACAUUUUAAAGACAAAUCUUGGACUGAUGUCAGGUCAGGAUUUUGUCCUUCUAGCAGC